ensembl:lncRNA
CCACACACACACACACACUAACACACACACACACACACACACACACACACACACACACACACACACACACACACACACACACACACACACACACACACGAGCUGCCAACAUCGUCGUGGAGACGACAGCGUCACAUGACCGUGGGGCGCUGUCCCGCCCGGGAGGUCGAAGGUCAAGGCGAGGAUCUCGUCUACUGAACAGUUCGCCACUCUGCGUGUUUUUCUAAGUUAUUUUUGUACAGAAGACGAAGAGCACAUUUUAUCUCCAAGAGAAUAUAAUAUUAUAAAAGGAAGAAGAAUAACUGACGAGCUCCGAGAUGAAGUCCAUGUACCUCAGUUCAGCAGAGUCCAGACCUGCUCCCGCUGGCCCCAGACCCCCCCCGUCCUAAUGAGGCCCUGGUUGAGAGCCUAUGGGGUCCCCUGUCCAGCUGCGCCACAGAGCCUAUGGGUUCCCCUGUCUAGCUGCGCCACAGAGCCUAUGGGUUCCCCGUGUCCAGCUGCGCCACAGAGCCUAUGGUGUCCCCUGUCUAGCUGCGCCACAGAGCCUAUGGGUUCCCCUGUCUAUCUGCGCCACAGAGCCUAUGGGGUCCCCUGUCCAGCUGACUCACAGAGCCUAUGGGUUCCCCUCUCCAGCUGCGCCACAGAGCCUAUGGGUUCCCCUGUCUCGCUACGCCACAGAGCCUAUGGGUUCCCCUCUCCAGCUGCGCCACAGAGCCUAUGGGUUCCCCUCUCCAGCUGCGCCACAGAGCCUAUGGGGUCCCCUGUCUAGCUGCGCCACUGAGCCUAUGGGGUCCCCUGUCCAGCUGACUCUCAAAGCCUAUGGGUUCCCCUCUCCAGCUGCGCCACAGAGCCUAUGGGGUCCCCUGUCUAGCUGCGCCACAGAGCCUAUGGGGUCCCCUGUCUAGCUGCGCCGCGGUGUGAACACGCCAAUUUAGAUGACCUGUCGGGUCGGCAGCAGUACCUGGAACCUCUUCAGGCCUAUAGGAGCACAGGAAGAAACCUGUGGAUGUGAUGUCACUUCCUGCUGGUGUUUCUGCUCAUAUGCUUGUCAAGGAGAUUACCUGUCUACAGCUGGGCUAACCUUCAUGGAGCGUGGCUAGCGGUGGAGCUACAGCUGGGCUAACCUUCCUGUAGUGUUGGCUAGCGGUGGAGCUACAGCUGGGCUAACCUUCCUAUAGUGUUGGCUAGCGGUGGAGCUACAGCUGGGCUAACCUCCAUGUAGUGUUGGCUAGCGCUGGAGCUACAGCUGGGCUAACCUUCCUGUAGUGUUGGCUAGCGCUGGAGCUACAGCUGGGCUAACCUCCCUGUAGUGUUGGCUAGCGCUGGAGCUACAGCUGGGCUAACCUUCCUGUAGUGUUGGCUAGCGUUGGAGCUACAGCUGGGCUAACCUUUGGCGUAGUGAUAAGUGAUGAUGUAGUUGAGUAGGUAUAAGGAUGAACACAGCGCCACAGCAGCCUGUCCAGCCAAUCGCAUCCACCGUGUUUCACAUUAGACACUUCGGCUAGCUUACUUUUACAUACCUGUUAGCUAGUCUGCUUGACUCCGGACUCCGAACUCUGACCUGCUACUCUAAAACUGCUCUUUGAAUCCUGGCUCUAGAACUGCUCUUUAAGUCCUAGAUCUGCUCUUUAAUUCCUAGCUCUUGCCCUGCUCUUUGCCGUACACGAUUAACCGAUCAGCGAAGAUGGUGAAUAAACGCACAGCCCCGCAGGUGAACAGCGGUGCCUCACAUCCUGUUGCUCGGCUUCAAAGUAGAAGUCCCCCUCAGGAUUCCCGAAUCAACCGUCUGGAUAUUCUUAGUGGCACCGACUCAGUGGUCCUAGUCAACCAGUCACCCCCCCCUUCUGGUUCUGAAUAGCGUGUGUGUGGUAAUGUAGUGUGUCUUCAUAGUCUAGUGGGUCUCCGUCAGACCUCAGAGGCGGUCGGCGGCAGGUCCGGACCUGAGAGAAGAGCAGGGUUCAUCCUGGUCUACCCAGGCCUUACCCCGGGAGGUACCACUAGACCGCCACCUUUUAUAAGGCAACGUCGUCACUGGUAGCGUUUGUGAUGCAGGGUAACAUGUUUGUUUUUUUUUAAGCAGAUGUUAUAACGUGUCACUGUAAUGUGUUUCAAGUCGUUCUUGGUAACUGAAAGUGCCCUCUGGGGCAGAGAGGAUGUCGUGGUGGACCCCUGUGGUGUUUUACUUGAGUGUUUUUAUAUUUGAGGUCUGAACUCUGUGAACCGGUUCACUGCCGCCCUCCGUCAGGGCGCCCUGAGCUCAGCAUUACUGUGAGCAACCUUUGGCCACCAUCACGUGGAUGUCCGUGCGCAGUGUUGCCAGAUUGGGAGAGAUAUCCCGUCCAACCUGGCCCAAUCUGGCAACGCGGUCAGUACCGCAACCGUUCCAUAUGUCCAGUGUGUUUUAUACUUGUUAUAAUGAUGGCCAAUCACGAAGCCACUGGUUAGGUCAUGUGACAUGUGGUGUUAAACCGGGGCCUUUGUGAUGUCAUCGUUCUCAUCUCUCUCCCCUCCCCUCUCCCCCCCCCCCUCCUUACUCGAGCUCUGAACCCCCCUUUUACAAAAGCAUAUAGAAUGUGAUGUCACCCCCAUAGUUUUGAUAAUUAUUUUCUCUUAUACAAAUUAUAUUAUGAAUUAUAUUUGUAUAUGUUUCGUAACUUCACAUGAAGCCUGCCUACAUUUCCUGGGUUGAAAUGUAGCUGUACAAUUCUAUAUGCAAGGACCAUGAAAUGUAUUUUAGUGAAGCGCUGUUAGGAUGUGGGAUGUAGCACAGUCUGUACUGUAGUCCGUACUGUCGAUGGAAGACGUCUUUGAUUUUUUUCUAUUUUAUUUGCCGUCGCUUGUUUGAAUUGUUCCUUUUUUGUGUGUUUGCAGACUUGCUACAUCCCAUAAUUUAGCAUUAGCAUUCACAGCCAAUCAAAACAUUUCCAUGGUUCCUGGAAGUUUUUUUUAUCUUUUGUAUGACAUCCUUUAAAGAUGUUCCUCAUUUGGUAUGAAAACAGAUCUAUAAUAUUUUUAAUGAUUUAUAUUGAUUGUUUAUUUGACAUACCUGAAAUUACUUGAAGUGUACAUCUGUGAUGCUACUCCCCAAACAACCGGUAGGCCUUCUGACCCCAAACAGCCAGUCUAGACUGCGCGGUAGGCCUUCUCCUCUAGGCUGGGCGGUAGGCCUUCUCCUCUAGGCUGGGCGGUAGGCCUUCUCCUCUAGGCUGGGCGGUAGGCCUUCUCCUCUAGGCUGGGCGGUAGGCCUUCUCCUCUAGGCUGGGCGGUAGGCCUUCUCCUCUAGGCUGGGCGGUAGGCCUUCUCCUCUACACUGGGCGGAAGGCCUUCUCCUCUACACUGGGCGGUAGGCCUUCUCCUCUACACUGGGCGGAAGGCCUUCUCCUCUAGGCUGGGCGGAAGGCCUUCUCCUCUACACUGGGCGGUAGGCCUUCUCCUCUACACUGGGCGGUAGGCCUUCUCCUCUACACUGGGCGGAAGGCCUUCUCCUCUACACUGGGCGGUAGGCCUUCUCCUCUACACUGGGCGGUAGGCCUUCUCUUUCCCCGAGUGCUCAGAUAUGUCGGUGAUACUGUUAUUCCUUCACUGUGAUAGCCCUCCCAGAGUGCUCUUAAGCCUCUGUUUUAAUUAUUUAAUAAUUAUUUACGGUCAGGAGCUAUGGAAUGAUCGGUCCUGUUAACAUUGAUCCGUUGCCUUCUCCAGAUACUUUUUUCUUCAAAGUAUUUAACUCUUCAGAGACGCCUGUUUGAAUAAUUUAACGAUCAUGAUUAAUAGUGUCUUAUUUUCUAGAGAAAGAUUUCCCCUAAAGUAUCAAACUGUCUAGAGAAACCUGUCCAUUGGAAGUUUUCUAACACCAGAAAGGUUUCCCUUUACUGUACCCGUAACUUAGAAAAUCUAUAUCUAGAGAUUCUAUAGCUAGAGUAAUUAUCUAGAAAACCCUUCAGGGAGUAUAUGACAAGAGGAGCAUUGCACUUAGUAAUUUCCAGUGAUAAUAAAUCCAGUGGUAUUUAUUAUGCUGUCAUCCGUUGAGUCUUCUGGCCAACAUUCCUACAGAGCGCACCUCUCUCUGUGUUGAUGUGGAACUCUGUCCUGAUUAAACUGCUCCUCAAAUCCAUCCUGUUUCCACAUCUUCCUUUCCCCACCACAUCCACCACCUUCACCGGUCCCCUGCUGGGCCAGAGCUCCAGUGAACCUGGAGACAUGAGUUAGACCAGACCAACACCAACCAAGCUCCGCUAAAAACUAAGAUUGUACCACAACUCUGUACCACAACUCCCAGUAAACGGGGAACUAUGAUUAUAUCGAACAAUUGACACCUGAUGGAUGAUUUACAUUUUGGAUUGCAGAGCUCAGGUGCCAAUGCUUUCAUGAUAAUUUAAAUAUGUGUGGGUGUGUGUCUAUAUAAAUAUGAAUGUUAAAAAUAUUCCUGAGUUGGUUCAACUUGACUUAAGUAAACUGAGCCCAGUGUUCCACUGGGUGUCGCCACAUCCCAGGGUAGACGCUGUCCGGUGAGAAGAUAAUUAAGUGUGGGGUUCAACAUGUUGUCUUCCUUCCAGCGGCUAGUUGGCCUCUAGUCAGUGACUGUACUUUGAAAAAAACGCUCCGGUGCUCAGGACUCCUGCUUGGGCGUCGUGCUCAAAUAACACCCCAUAGCGGAGGCCAGGUAGAGAAUGGAACCAGCAACCCGUCCUAGUGCAAGAAGACAUUAGAGCUCCUAUGUAUGUAUGUGUGUCCUCCACACACACUCCUACCCCAUAUGUUAACUGGUGCCUGCAGUCUUGAAGACAUUCACAGUGGUUUCAAAAUCGAUCCAUUUGUGACAUCACAAGUGGGCGUGAGCACCCAGAUGCAUGAUGGGUAGAUCAUCUCCCUCACCCCUGGUGGCAGCAUAAAUGGAACACCAUUUUAAGUCAUUAUUCAAUAAAUAAAUGCAUAAAGAACUAAAAAAUGCAUUUCCUGCAGAAUAUCCGCUAAUGUGCGAAGUGAUGUUAAAAAUGUUUUAAUAAAGCCAAGUUUAAGACGUAAAGAUGUUGAUUAGCUUACUUCAAGUGAAAAGAUUCAAAAAGUCUAAAU